rnacentral:sRNA from 1 species
AGACCUGACCGGCCAGCUCCGGGCGUGGGGUGAAAUCUCUUGAUUCCUAGUCUCUCGAUAUGGCACCUCCGUCAGUCUUUGCCGAGGUUCCGCAGGCCCAGCCUGUCCUGGUCUUCAAGCUCACUGCCGACUUCAGGGAGGAUCCGGACCCCCGCAAGGUCAACCUGGGAGUGGGAGCAUAUCGCACGGAUGACUGCCAUCCCUGGGUUUUGCCAGUAGUGAAGAAAGUGGAGCAGAAGAUUGCUAAUGACAAUAGCCUAAAUCACGAGUAUCUGCCAAUCCUGGGCCUGGCCGAGUUCCGGAGCUGUGCUUCUCGUCUUGCCCUUGGGGAUGACAGCCCAGCUCUCAAGGAGAAGCGGGUAAGUUUUGGGUAAGGAUGUAUUUUCUCUUUAGAAACUGAAAGUAAAAAGAUGUUGAGAAUACAGUUUGUUUAAAAUAUUAGGCGUUAUGUCUAUUGAACUGCCAAUGAAUAAGUGUUUCUGUAGCGCGAGUUCAGGAACCUGAUAGCGCAAAUAAUGUGGCCAUGUACAAAGCACGGCUUUUUCACUUGUUCAGUUUUGCCCAGUAGAUCAUCAGAUUUUAGCUACUGCAUUUGAAGCAGUCAGUGGAGAUGCCAAGUAGAAAGAAUUCAAUGGAGUGAUAAAGACACCAGGGUUCUAGAUCCAACUCUGCCACUACUUUUGAUCAUAGGCAAGUCAUUGAGCCCUCUGGGCUCA